rnacentral:tRNA from 1 species
CCCUCCCUAGCUCAGCGGCUAGAGCGUUCGGCUGUAGACCGAAAGGUCCCCGGUUCGAAUCUGGGGGGAGGGA